rnacentral:tRNA from 1 species
CGCAGACACGCCUCGGAUCCUGCGUUGCUGUGGCUGUGGUGUAGGCCGGCAGCUGUAGCUCUGAUUCAACCCCUAGCUGGGAACCUCCAAGUGCUGCGGGUGCAGCCCUAAAAAGAAAAAAGAAAAGAAAAAAAGAAAAGCAGAUCUGCUCAUAUCCUUGCACUGCUUGGCUCUUGUAGCUCUCAGGUGCAAUCCUAAGAUCCUGACAUGUCCUACUGAGUCCUGACCCCUGCCUACCUGUCCAGCCCCAUCUCUUAAUCCACGCUUCACUCUAGAUUAUUUUCUUUCUUGUGCCCAGACUCUUCUGCUCACCCUGUAUCCCCUUCUGCCUAACUCUAACUUAUCUGGAAAAUGGCAGCCCCGAAUGUCUUCCUCUGGAAAACCUUUUUAGGAUUUCCCAAAACCAUGUUAGGUGCCUGUUUCAGAAAGUCAGCCACCUGGAGUUCCCUCUGUGGUACAGCAGGUUAAGGGUCUGGCUUGUCUCUGCAGCACCGCCAGUUUGAUCCUGGCCUGGCCCAGUGGGUUAAGGAUCCAGUGUUACUACAUCUGUGGCACAGGUCGCAGGCACAGCUUGGAUUUGAUCCCUGACCUAGGAACUUCCACAUGCCGUGGGUGCAGCCAAAACCAGGGUGGUGGUGGGGGCGGGGAGUGAGACACCAUGUCUGCCGUCCGUGGCCCCUUCCAGUGAUGAAAAUGUCCUGUCGACUGUCCCCCAGAAGGGGCAUCAUGUAGCCAUGUGAGCCUGUCCCCAUCUGCUGGCUGGUGACAGGACAAGGGGUGAACACUUGAGCCAGAUGCGGUUCAUCCGUAGACUUGCCGUUUAUCGAAUUUGCCAGCUGCAGAAAGUACUUGAGAACACAGAGAAAGUGAGACUCUAAGCAGCAAGAAGUGAAGUGAGAGUUGCGUAGAGAGAGGCCAGGAUGUGGAGGGAGGCCCCUCAGGCUAUUGGGGUUUUUGCUGCUUUGGCAUCAGUUAGGAUAUUUUAGUUGUAAGCAACAGAAAAUUUCUGCCUAAUUUAGGCUGAAAAGGAAUUCCUUGAAAAUGCAUUGGCUACUUCACAGACUUGUCAGUGAAGGCAAGAACCAGACUUGGGACUGUGUAGUUAGGAAGAGUGCCCAGUACCAGCCUGCAGAACAAGUCCGGUGAGCAACACUCUGAGACCGGGUCACUGAAGCUUGCACCACUCCAGCUGCUGUGCCAGCAACUCAGUGUUACCGCAACCUCCCAGCUGCAGAGAGAGAAAUCCUGGGUCAAUCCCUUCCUCUUUGGGAUACUAGCUCCUGAUUCAAGGUCGGGAUAUGAGUCCAAUUGGUCUUAUACCUGUGACUCAGCUGCAAGGGAGUCUGGGAAAGCAAGUAUGGGCAUUUUCAGCUUCUGGAAGAGGAGGCAGGUUCUGCUUCUCCAAAGAUUUCAAGGCUGAGGGAUUUCGCAGACAUAGAAAAGAGAUUCAUAUGCCAUGGCCCCUACUGAAAUUAUCCUAAUUAAUGCCUUACUUUCUUCACAUGUAGAUGCCCUGAAUUGUUUCCAGUUUUACGUCUCUGAAUGCUUGGGAUUAACCCUUCUUAGCCAUCAUGAAUUAUUCUUUUGAUAUAAUUCUUGGUUGGUGUGCUCACAUUUCAUUUAGAACUUUCACAUCGAAAUUAGAAAAGAGGAGUGGCCCUUAAAUUUCUUUGGAAGGGCUUUGUCUUUUUCUGUUUGUUUGCUUUGAUGUGUCGUCAGGGUUAUGCUGGCUUUGGGAAAUAAGUUGGAAAUUUUUCUGUUCUCUGGAAAAGUUAGAGGUCAUAGGGAUUUUCCAUGCAGUUUUGGUGGAAUUCACCUGUAAAACCCUCCAGCCCUGAUGCCACUUGGUGGAGAGUUCCUCAAAUACCUUUCCACUUUCUACUAGAAUUGCCCAUUGGAGUGUCUACCUCUUGUGUCAAUUUUUGGUAACUGACAUUUAUCUACUAAGAUAUCUAUUUCACGUGGCUCUUCAAUUUACAUGGCAAGUCGCAAUAUUUUAUACUUUUAUCAUUUGUUAAAGUCUCCAGAGCUGUAGUUAUGACUCCUAAUGUUGUGAAUUUGUAUUUUCUUUCUCUUCUGUCUCUCUCUCUCUCUCCCUGUUCUUCCCUGCCCUUUUUGGGCCAUGCCCUCCACAGGCAGAAGUUCCCAGGCCAAGGAAUGAACUCGAGCCACAGCGGUGACAACACUGCAUCCUCAACCCAGUGAGCCACCAGGGAACUCCUCCCCAUUUUAUUCUUCCUACUUGCCAAAGAUUGGUCUAUUUAAUUGGACUAGUCAAAGAACUGGAUUUAUUAUUUUUACUAGUCAAUUUUUUUUUCUAUUUGAUGAUGAAUGUCUACUUUAAUCUUUAGUAAUUUCUCAUACUUUGAGCUUAUUUUCAUGUUCUCCUUCUACCUUCUUGACUUGAAAUCUUUCACUUAUUUUCCAUCUUUCUUGCUUUUCUGGUAAAUUUGUUUAAUUUAUCCUUUUCAUUUGAAUACUGCUCUGUGCCAUCUCACAUGUUUUAUCAUGUAAUACCUAAGGUGAAUAUUUGUAAUUUUUUUUUAAUAGACACCCCUGAGGCUUAUGGACGUUCCCAGGCUAGGGGUCAAAUUUGAGCUGCAGCUGCCAGCCUAUACCACAGCCACAGCAAUGCCAGAUCCAAGCCAUGUCUGCGACCUAUGCGACAACUCAUGGCAGUGCUAGAUCCUUAACCCACUGAGCAAGGCCAGGGAUCAAACCUGCGUCCUUAGGGGUACUAGUCAGAUUCGUUUCCGCUGUGCCGCAAUGGGGAACUUCCUUUGUAAUUUUUAAAUCCAGCAUCUUUUCCUCAAAAAUAAGAGGACCCCAUUUCCUUUUGGGAGAAUAUGCCUCCCCAGAUGAGUGCAAACUUGACUUUAUGGGAGCACGUACCCUGUCCUCUUGCUUUGGAAACCAAAAUGUCUUUCCUCCUACCUUAUCCUUCCUGUCACCACCUGAGUUCAGCCCAGGCAUGUGACCUAGUCGUGGAUGACCAUACUCCCUCUCCUAGGAUUUCAAAUGCUGAAAGAGGUUACCAAAGAACAGAAAAUGGAACUGGGGGGAAUUCCCCUCGUGGCGCAGUGGUUAACGAAUCCGACUAGGACCCAUGAGGUUUCGGGUUCGAUCCCUGGCCUCGCUCAGUGGGUUAGGGAUCCGGCGUUGCGGUGAGCUGUGGUGUAAGUCGCAGAUGCAGCUCGGAUCCUGUGUUGCUGUGGCUGUGGUGUAGACGGGCGGCUACAGCUCCGAUUGGACCCCUAGCCUGGGAACCUCCAUAGGCCGUGGGAGCAGCCCUAGAAAUGGCAAAAAGACAAAAAAAAAAAAAAAAAAGAAAAAGAAAAA